CCGAGCGAGAUCAGCUCGUCCGGGAGGGAGCCAAGGGCUCCCCGGGUUCACAGGGCCGCGGCCCCAAGGGGAUGCUCUUCUCGCGUGCCCCGGGGUGCAGAAGCGGACUGCAAGGGCGGUGGGACCGGCCUGGGCCACGACUCUUGAAGCCUGAAAAGGUCAUCUUUACACCAGUGUAUAUCUCUGCCCAUAGGAGUUUAUUUUGUCAUUCUAGGUCUGAUGAGAAGGUCAUUGCUAAAAUGGUUAAUUGCCUGAGUUUCCUAUGCUGCAGAUGAUAUUCAAUGAUGACACACAAAAAAGAACAUUUGUAAAACUCCAGGAGAUGCAUCUUUCUGCUGAGAAAACAGCCAUUAUCAAAUAAACAUUCUAAAAUGUGAGCAUGAAGAUGGACAUCAAAGACAGUGAUCAGGGAAGAUGAGGCAGAAGCACAGUAGAGGAAGGUCAAUGAUACCCUCGUGGGCUUGGGACUAUCUCAGAUGGACAUGGUAGUAUUCCCUGAUCUACAUGCAUCUGUGAACUGGAGAAGACAACAGGCGCCAGCCAGGAAUGCUCACUACCACUGACCAAAUAAACAUACAUGGAAUUGCAAA